AAUUUAUAAUUUUAGAAUUCCACGCAGGUUUUCCGUUGUUGACAAUGUAUAUAACUUUUUUAAACUUUCAAAAGAAUAAAAGCGCCGGAAUGACUCCAUCGAAUAGAGAAGACUAUUUGCGGGAGUCCAGAUAAGUUCGGUCACGCUCUGGUCAAAUAUUCUUUCCGUUUAACCUGGACUGGAGCGUGAUGGGACCGAGACUCGACAGUUAUCCAUAGUGUAAACAGGUUGAUUACAAUGCUGAAAUAUUCGUCUGAGCCAAAUCGAACCGUAACGGCUCGAUAGUGUGGAUCGGGACUUAGACUAUCUAGUAGUUUAGAAAUAGGUAGGUUUAAAAUUAUAGAUCCGAGGUUUUAUUAUUGCUAAGUAUCGUUACCACUUUUAUGACCUAAACUCAGCCAGCUGUUGGAUAGUUCCCCGGGUAUCGACUUUUUACCAGAUCGAUGAUCAUUUUGUCAGGCCGACCAUUAGCCGCCGUCAGCACCAAUCCGAAACUCGACUGGAUCUUCAUCUAUUAUUCUCACCACUGUUUACUAGGCAAAAAAUAUUCUAUUAGAAAAGCGCUUUUAUCUAUAGACGCUGGUCGUUGUCUAAUCGGCUAUUUAACCAUCGUGAUACCAAAGAAGCUAGGGAAACUCCUUUUUUACGCGCCCAUAUCCAAAAGGAAACUUAUUUGGCCGUUAAGUCCUGCGCCCCCUUUAGAACCAAAACCUCCAGCCCAGGCCUCAUUUUCUAGAUAGAGAAGAAAUUUCUGUCGACGUUAAUUUGUUAAUCCAGUGGUGAUGGUUGUUUUGUCUCGAAAAACCUUUCCUUCGUAUUAUACAAUAUAGUAUACGUGAAAUAUGUUUAGCAUUUUCAUUUGGUAAAUAUAACGGCAUGAAACUGAGUUUGGAUGUCCGAGUUGCCAAACACUCAUCCGCUAAUAUUUGAAUCCGUUUUUUUCGCUCCAUCGAGUUAACGACCUGUAGUCGUACGGUACCAUAGGCCGGAUGAAAACUUUAGCGGCGGAUCGAUACAGUAUUGUAGUUUUGUAUAGAAAAUGGCUGCCGUCAUUUUAGGCGAGCGUUUCCGUCGUUUCUCCGCUGGCCGCCAUAAAACGAAAGUGAUCGGUGGAAAAGAAACUCGAUUCUUUUGGCCAUCACACCUAUGGCCUUUUUUAACUUAUAUUGCUAGACUUUAAUAAAGUUCCACUUUGGACGUUUUAUCGCCGAUCAAAUCCAAUUAAUUUUGGUUUAACCGGGGCCGACUGUAUACCGAUGACCAUAUCCAGCCAUUGGUGACGUCAUAUUUGUAAUCCUAGGCUAAGAAUCUUUAAAUUUUCUUUUAUCCAUAAUCGUUUUACCUAUCAAAUUUUUAAGAUAUAAACGAAAAAAAUUUCGCCACAAUAUAUGAAUUUAAUAUUUUCGUUCAAUCUAAACAUUAUCCAUUAAUUUUAAUUUGAUACAAAAAGUAUGAAAGCGCUGUUGAUGAAAAUACUGUGGAGAAAUCUUUAGCUCCAGUAAUUUUAAAUGUAAAAUUUGAGAAAAUAUACACUUUUAUGAUUAAAAUUUUAAAAAGCCGAAUAUUUGUAAACUAUUAAUUCCAGAAUAACAAAUUCUUUUUAAGAUUAUAAUUUAUUUUAAAGAAAACAAAAUAGAUUGGUGUUUUUGUAUGUAGAAAGUUAUAUAUUUAACAGUUCUAAGUCCUGUUUUUCUUUAAGAUGACCAUUUUACUCUAUCGCUGCCAUUAUUUUUUAAGAUUCAAUAUUUUUAAUAGUAUUCUCGCCAUUACAUAUAUAUAAAAUAUUGAUAGUAAGGCCACCAGAUUCCAAUUUAGAUUUAAAAAGACAAAUUAAUGCUCCUGGUUUAUUCCAUAUUUUGGUCAAUUGGUUCUCAAAAUUUUCAAUAAUAUAUAAGACUAUAAACCGUGUUUAAUAAAUAAUCGGACUGAUAAAUUAAUCUAUUGCUUAUCUAGCUUGGCCAUAUAAAUCCUGUCGUGAUCUGAAUCUGUUUCAAAAAAAUUGAUAGAAUCGAUUUCGAUUCUAUCGAUUCUGUUUCGCACAGCUAAUAAUUUAUCACCUGUAUAUGUAAAACUUUUAUUGAUAAAAUUAUACUGUUUGAUAAUUCAAUGGCCGCCAUUAAAGAUUACUAUUCCAUAUUACCCUCUAUCGUAUGGUCAUCAAAAUUCGGUCGAGAAAUUAUUUUUUUUUUUUUUUUCUAGUUCUAGAAAGCCAAGAUAGAUAACUAAUUAAUUUCAAUUUUUUCUCUCAUUCUAA
rnacentral:lncRNA from 1 species